rnacentral:rRNA from 1 species
CCUACGGGAGGCAGCAGUGGGGAAUAUUGCACAAUGGCCGAAACGCUGAUGCAGCGACGUCGCGUGAGUGAAGAAGUAUCUCUGUAUGUAAAGCUUCAUUUGUAGGGAAGUAAAUGUAUCCACCUGUGUAUGUUUCCCUGGCCAAUUUCGUUCCAGCACCCGCGGUAAUAUGCAGGCGGCCAGCGUUAUCCGGAUUUACUGGGUGUAAAGGGAGCGUAGUCGGUUGCGCAAGUCAGGAGUGAAAUCUUGUGGCUUAACCAUAGAACUGCUUUGGAAACUGGACGACUGGAGUGCGGGGGAGGUAGGCGGAAUUCGUGGUGUAGCGGUGAAAUGCAUAGAUAUUAGGAAGAACACCGGUGGCGAAGGCAGCUUACUAAGCUAUAACUGACAUUGAAGCUCGAAAGCGUGGGGAGCAAACAGGAUUAGAUACCCGAGUAGUC